rnacentral:rRNA from 1 species
UGGGGAAUAUUGGACAAUGGGCGCAAGCCUGAUCCAGCAAUGCCGCGUGAGUGAGGAAGGCCUUAGGGUUGUAAAGCUCUUUCACCCACGACGAUGAUGACGGUAGUGGGAGAAGAAGCCCCGGCUAACUUCGUGCCAGCAGCCGCGGUAAUACGAAGGGGCGAGCGUUGUUCGGAUUUACUGGGCGUAAAGGGGCGCGCAGGCGGCAGACCAAGUCAGGCGUGAAAGCCCCGGGCUCAACCUGGGAACUGCGUUUGGGACUGGUUUGCUAGAGAUCGGGAGAGGAGAGUGGAAUUCCCAGUGUAGAGGUGAAAUUCGUAGAUAUUGGGAAGAACACCGGGUGGCGAAGGCGGCUUCUUCUUGGACCGAUACUGACGCUGAGGCGCGAAAGCGUGGGGAGCAAACA